rnacentral:rRNA from 1 species
GACAGAGGGUGCAAACGUUGUUCGGAUUUACUGGGCGUAAAGCGCGUGUAGGCGGCUUUGCAAGUCGGAUGUGAAAGCCCACGGCUCAACCGUGGAAGUGCAUCCGAAACUGCAUGGCUGGAGUCCCGGAGAGGAAGGUGGAAUGCUUGGUGUAGAGGUGAAAUUCGUAGAUAUUCGGAGGAACACCAGUGGCGAAGGCGGCUCACUGGUCCGGUACUGACGCUGAGGUGCGAAAGCGUGGGGAGCAAACAGG